GUUUGCAGGCAAGGUUCUCCUGGUAUGGAUGAUGCUAUGGGUAUUAAAACUGAUUCUCCUAGAACUAGCAUGCUUGUCGUGUCAGAAUUUAUUGGUUGUUCCCCAUCUCUGAGUGGAGCAAUUAGGGUAAAUCCAUGGGAUAUUGAAGCUGUCGCUGAGGCUUUAAAUGUGGCCAUUACAAUGUCCGAUUCCGAGAAACAACUUCGUCAUGAGAAGCACUACCGCUAUGUAAGCUCUCAUGAUGUAGCUUACUGGGCUCGUAGCUUUAUGCAGGAUUUGGAAAGAGCUUGCAAAGAUCAUUACAGUA
rnacentral:misc_RNA from 1 species